rnacentral:rRNA from 1 species
UACGAAGGGGGCUAGCGUUGCUCGGAAUUACUGGGCGUAAAGGGUUCGUAGGUGGCCAAUUAAGUCAGACGUGAAAUCCCUCAGCUUAACUGGGGAACUGCGUCUGAUACUGGUUGGCUUGAGUGCAGGAGAGGAAUGCGGAAUUCCAGGUGUAGCGGUGAAAUGCGUAGAUAUCGGAAGGAACACCAGUGGCGAAAGCGGCUUCCUGGUCCAGCACCGACGGUCAGGCACGAAAGCGUGGGGAGCAAACAGG